rnacentral:snRNA from 1 species
AUACUUACCUGGCAGGGGAGAUACCAUAAUCAUGAAGGUGGUUUUCCCAGGGUGAAGCUUAUCCAUUACACUCUGGAUGUGCUGACCCUGCGAUUUCCCCUGAAGAAAA